CCUACGGGGGGCUGCAGUGAGGAAUAUUGGUCAAUGGGCGCGAGCCUGAACCAGCCAAGUCGCGUGAGGGAAGACGGUCCUAUGGAUUUAAACCUCUUUUGUCGGGGAGCAAAAGACGCCACGCGUGGCGUUCCGAGAGUACCCGAAGAAAAAGCAUCGGCUAACUCCGUGCCAGCAGCCGCGGUAAUACGGAGGAUGCGAGCGUUAUCCGGAUUUAUUGGGUGUAAAGGGUGCGCAGGCGGAAGAUCAAGUCAGCGGGAAAAUUGAGAGGCUCAACCUCUUCGAGCCGUUGAAACUGGUUUUCUUGAGUGAGCGAGAAGUAUGCGGAAUGCGUGGUGUAGCGGUGAAAUGCAUAGAUAUCACGCAGAACUCCGAUUGCGAAGGCAGCAUACCGGCGCUCAACUGACGCUCAUGCACGAAAGUGUGGGUAUCGAACAGGAUUAGAUACCCCGGUAGUC
rnacentral:rRNA from 1 species